UGGGGAAUAUUGCACAAUGGGCGAAAGCCUGAUGCAGCAACGCCGCGUGAGUGAUGAAGGCCUUCGGGUCGUAAAGCUCUUUGAUCAGGGAGGAUAAUGACAGUACCUGAAAAACAAGCCAAGGCUAACUACGUGCCAGCAGUCGCGGUAAUACGCAGGUGGCGAGCGUUGUCCGGAAUUACUGGGCGUAAAGGAUGCGUAGGUGGAUACUUAAGUGGGAUGUGAAAUCCCCGGGCUCAACCCGGGAACGGCAUUCCAAACUGGGUAUCUAGAGUGCAGGAGAGGAAAGCGGAAUUCCUAGUGUAGCGGUGAAAUGCGUAGAUAUUAGGAGGAACACCAGUGGCGAAGGCGGCUUUCUGUACUGUAACUGCCACUGAGGCAUGAAAGCGUGGGUAGCAAACA
rnacentral:rRNA from 1 species